GCGGCGGAGUAGCUGUCGCUGCCUACGGACGACGUCAAGCGUCUCCGGCGGCGGCACCUCUUGGGCGAACAAGGCGGUGCCUCUCGCGGUGGCGGCCAUGUAAUCGAUCGAUCGAUCAGGACUGACUCUGAAGAGCCUAGUCGCUGCUC